rnacentral:lncRNA from 1 species
AUGAGAGGUCGUGACCUGCGCCCCGGGCCGGGGUCACUCACCGGCCUCGCUCUGGUUGUAGUAGCCGCGCAGGGUCCCCAGGUUCGCUCGGUCAGUCUGUGACUGGGCCUUCACAUUCCGUGUCUGCAGGUCCCAAUACUCCGGCCCCUCCUGCUCUAUCCACGGUGCCCGCGGCUCCAUCCUCUGGCUCGCGGCGUCGCUGUCAAACCGCACGAACUGCGUGUCGUCCACGUAGCCCACGGCGAUGAAGCGGGGCUCCCCGCGGCCGGGCCGGGACACGGAUGUGGUGAAAUACCUCAUGGAGUGGGAGCCUGGGGGCGAGGAGUGGCUGAGACCCACCCGACCCUCCUCCCGGCGCGGCUACCCGGGUCCUGCGUCCCCGCCGGGCGGGCCCCUUGCUUCUCCCCGCAGAGGCGGUUUCCCCACGACCCCGCACUCACCCGCCCAGGUCUGGGUCAGGGCCAGGGCCCCCAAGAGUAGCAGGAGGAGGGUUCGGGGCGCCAUGACGGCCAUCCUCGGCGUCUGGGGAGAAUCUGAGUCCCGGUGGGUGCGUGCGGACUUUAGAACCGCGACCGCGACGACACUGAUUGGCUUCUCUGGAAACCCGACACCCAAUGGGAGUGAGAACUGGGUCCGCGUCGUGAGUAUCCAGGAAGAAGGACCCUACAUAGGUUGGCAGAGGGAGAAAAGAAACUGCGGAGUUGGGGAAUCCCCAAGGCUGGGACUCCCCAAUCCAUACACCGCCUUCGGGGCCUGAGACCCUGAGAGCCACGCCUGGGGCCCUGGGACUUCGCCCUGACCCCUCUGCUCCUGUGCCAAGCUCUCUGUCUCAAUGUCUCCCUGAGUCUUGGCCCAAGAGCUGUCUGAGAAACAAGGGAGAAACCCUCGGCAUGGGCCCCGUCCCUCUCCUUUCACUUUUCAUCCCGUAAUCUCUGUCCCUGAACUGGACUCCCUGACUCCCACUCCUUACCUGUCCACCUGGACUCUUCUAG